AUUGAACGCUGGCGGCAGGCCUAACACAUGCAAGUCGAACGAGUGGCGGACGGGUGAGUCAUGUCUGGGAAACUGCACGAUGGAGGGGGAUAACUACUGGAAACGGUAGCUCAUACCGCAUACCAUCGGAUGUGCCCAGAUGGGAUUAGCUAGCAGGUGGGGUAACGGCUCCCCUAGGCGACGAUCCCUAGCUGGUCUGAGAGGAUGACCAGCCACACUGGAACUGAGUCACGGUCCAGACUCCGACGUGAGGCAGCAGUGGGGAAUAUUGCACAAUGGGCGCAAUCCUGAUGCAGCCAUGCGGCGUGUAUGGAGAAGGCCUUCGGGUUGUAAAGUACUUUCAGCGAGGAGGCGUUACUCGCAGAAGAAACACCGGCUGACUCCGUGCCAGCAGCCGCAGUAAUAC
rnacentral:rRNA from 1 species